rnacentral:sRNA from 1 species
GCACCUGAAAUUACUGAUGAUGCAACAGAUAUCAAUUC